rnacentral:rRNA from 1 species
UGCGAGUCGGACGCGUCGUAGCUGUACGGGAGUGGCAGACGGGUGAGUAACGCGUGGGAAUCUACCCUUUUCUUCGGAAUAACACAGAGAAAUUUGUGCUAUUAGCGGAUGCGCCCUUCGGGGGAAAGAUUUAUCGGUAAAGGAUGAGCCCGCGUCUGAUUAGCUAGUUGGUGGGGUAAAGGCCUACCAAGGCGACGAUCAGUAGCUGGUCUGAGAGGAUGAUCAGCCACAUUGGGACUGAGACACGGCCCAAACUCCUACGGGAGGCAGCAGUGGGGAAUAUUGGACAAUGGGGGCAACCCUGAUCCAGCCAUGCCGCGUGAGUGAUGAAGGCCUUAGGGUUGUAAAGCUCUUUCGCUAGGGAAGAUAAUGACGGUACCUAGAGAAGAAGCCCCGGCUAACUUCGUGCCAGCCGCCCGCGGUAAAUACCAUCAUAAAAACCCCCGCCUAAUUAUCUUCCC